rnacentral:rRNA from 1 species
UACGUAGGGGGGCAAGCGUUGUCCGGAAUUAUUGGGCGUAAAGCGCGCGCAGGCGGUUUGUUGCGUCGGCUGUGAAAAUCCCCGAGGCUCAACCUCGGGUCUGCAGUCGAUACGAGCAAACUAGAGUGUUGCAGGGGAGACUGGAAUUCCUGGUGUAGCGGUGAAAUGCGCAGAUAUCAGGAGGAACACCGGUGGCGAAGCGGCUCUGG